CUUUUGAGGGUCUAUUAAUUCUUAAUUCUUAAUCCUUGAGUUCUUCCACUAGACACACGUCACACACCCUCUAGAGAGAGUUGUGUUUGUCUAAACUCGAGAAAAUCAAGAUAGAAAGGAGGAGAAUCACGAACUGCAAAUAGAAGCUCGGGACGGGAGAACCAAACCAUCCAUCGGAAUUCGUUUCAGAUAGAAAGGUCUUCAGGAGGAUCUAGCUGUGGAGGAAGGGGUGUUACACUUAUAUCAUCCAAUCAAUCUAAUCGAGAAUUCGAGAUAGGUAUGGGUUACCUCGCGGUGGUAUCCUUGCCAGCAAUUCUUUUCAUCUUGAUCCUAGCCAUUAGUUGUUACCUUGUUGGUAGGUACAGGGGUAGAAGUGAAGGAAGGUGGGCUCCACAGUUUUAUGGGCCACCUGUACCUCCAGUGCAAUCCCAGGCCCCGGACAAAGUACCAGGCGCGUAGAGACGUAUUGGGCCUCCAUACUUGUGUAGACUGUAGACCAUAGAGUGACUUGAUGUACAAAUUAGUGUAAUGUUCACUAGAAGAAUCCCCCUACAUAUUUGUAUACUGCUCUUCUGUUGCUUGAAAAACAUCUGGAUCCUCACCAUCAACUAAUAUGUGUGUUUGAUACUGUAUAUGAAUUCACUUUAAAUAAAUUUUCUUGAUUUGAAUGUGCGGAAA